GGAGAAAAUCAAGGGAAGCUGUCUCCUUGCCUUAAAUUUCGUCAAAAGGCAAGAGAUUAAUAAGGAAAGAAUCUAGGAAGUCACCAUCCCUUAGAUUAGAUCGAACCAUCAUAGCAUUCCACCUCUUUUGAAAACCAAGUCCAAAACCCUAACCUUUCACACUUAAACCCUAACCAAAACUCUCCAAUUCGGUCCAAGUUUAACCAAACCCUAAACUAAACCCAGUUCAGUUCUAAUGGAGCUAAACCACCCCCCAAACCAAACUAGGACCCUUACCACUUUUUUGAACCAAGAAAAACCAAAGAAAACUAAAAAAACUCAAAGAAAAAAAGGCCAUAAGACCCAAAUCCGAACCUAGCAUGGGGGACUUUUCAUUCUCCCUCAUUCUUUCUCACUUUCACCAUUCUCUCUAAUCCCUCUCAAGAACCGAAUCCUAGCUCCAUCUUGAUCCUUCUCCUUUCUUCUCUCAUCCCUAACCUCUAUGAAACUACUAUGAACGAACCAGUUCUCCUUCCUCACCAACCUCCCACCAUCAAACCCCUAUCAAGCUCUCUCCUCUAAAGAAAGAGGAAUGAGCAUCCCUCUCCAUCAUUUCGGCCAGCCAAGCAAUAAGCAAAGAAAGGAGAUUCCCUUCAUUGCAUUUAGGUAAAUCCGAAGCCAUUUCUAUAGCACCAUUUUUUACAACCGAGUUCAUCACCAAGUAUUUGUCAAAAGGCCACAAAGAGGAGGAAGGAAGCACCUAAAGUCAGUGGAGGAAGCUGAACUUUUUGCUAUACAGCAGGGAAUUCAUCAAGUACUUCAAAUGGCCAAAUCUAAUUUAUUGAUAUAUUCAGAUUCCCAACUAGUUGUGCAUGCGCUGCAAAAUACAACUUAUCUACAUUGGUCGAGCCUGUGACUUUUAAUGAAAACCAAAAACUUUUUGUUGAAUCAUUAUCCUUCAGAUACAGCAGAUGUAAAUUAAAGGACCUUGUAAUC